AAAGAAAAAGAAGAAGAAAUAAAGAAAGUGUGCCAAGAGCUCAAAAGGACCAUACCUGUUGGACGGGAUUACAGGCCCUUGGACCCAUCCUCAUGAAAAAGAUCAGUGUACAAACAUUUGCCUCCUGGGCUCUGCAUGACUGUGCAUUUCAGUAGAAUCACCUGGAGGUCUGUUAACAGUGAUUUUUUAAAAAGCCCUUAAAUGAUGGUCAUCUUCUGUUCAGGUGGCUCCACACGCUGAGGUCCCACGUGCCUGAAGGUCUGGCCCCUCCGGUUACAUGGCUGUGCACCUCCUGGGGGCACUCGGGGCUGCGUUUGCUUUCUUCCUGAUAUUUUCUGUUAAAAACAAGAAUCUUACUUCCUCUGUUGCCUAA
rnacentral:antisense_RNA from 1 species